UACGAAGGGGGCUAGCGUUGUUCGGAAUUACUGGGCGUAAAGCGAACGUAGGCGGUGUUCCAUGUCAGAGGUGAAAGCCUGGGCUCAACACCAGAACUGCCUUUUAGACUGCAUCGCUUGAAUCAUGGAGAGGUGAGUGGAAUUCCGAGUGUAGAGGUGAAAUUCGUAGAUAUUCGGAAGAACACCAGUGGCGAAGGCGGCUCACUGGACAUGUAUUGACGCUGAGGUGCGAAAGCGUGGGGAGCAAACAGG
rnacentral:rRNA from 1 species